GUCCCAAAAGGAUCAUCUAACUCUUUUCGUAAGAGGUAGAAAAAAGUCUUUUUAGGGCCC
rnacentral:tRNA from 1 species